AGAAGAUCGCAGUGAUUUUGUUUGGAUUUUCGAUCACUUAGAUGGUGGCAUCGAUCGCGCGGAGAGGUCGAGGAGGAAGAGGACGAGUCUUAUAGGGAUCGUGUUGUAUUUUUCUCUGCGAUAGCGGUUUUACUCUGAUAUUUCUUGUAGGAAGCCGCUUUUCAUAUAAGUCAUCAUGGCGAAUGAGGGUUUCAAGUUGAGUAAGGGAAGUAGCAGUCCUGUCUCUACAGGGGCUUUCUUCAAGUCCCGGGAUGAGUACCGCAAGCAUCCAAUUCUUAACGGCCAUUUGAAGAGAGCUACCCCUGGCCUUGGCAUUGCCUUAGGUCUUUUUGGUGUUUUCCUCGUUGUGGAUGGUAUUUCAUCGAGAUUUUCUAAAAAGGAUCAUCAUUGAGUUGUGCGAGUUGCAGACGACUUGAAGCUGAAAAAUUUGCAAACUUGGUUGGCCGUCUUUCAUGGAGAUUGCAUAUUCCGAAAUGGAGGAAAUUGAAAGAGAGCUUUUGAUAAAUUUCCUUGUUUCGAAGCAAUUUUUGGUUUAAAGAUCCGUUAUUGAUCCUGAAGGAAGCGAACUUUUUCGUUUGCCAGCUUUGUUUGAUACACUGAGCCAAAUUCUCUUCUCACCGAUUUCUCUCUGUUGUUUAAUGCUAUGAAAGUGUCUUGUAUGCUACGGCAAUAUUCAUGGCUCUGUUAGAAUGAGGUUGAAAGGUGCAAAUACAAUCUAGACGUUAUUUUAAGAAUCGACAUUUCUGUCCUACAGUGGAAUUGCGGAAUACAGAAUAAGGACUUUGGGUUUAGUUCCACUUGAA